rnacentral:rRNA from 1 species
UACGGGGGGAGCAAGCGUUGUUCGGAUUUACUGGGCGUAAAGGGCGCGUAGGCGGUCAGCACAAGUCAGUUGUGAAAUCUCCGAGCUUAACUCGGAAAGGUCAACUGAUACUGUGCGACUAGAGUGCAGAAGGGGCAACUGGAAUUCUCGGUGUAGCGGUGAAAUGCGUAGAUAUCGAGAGGAACACCUGCGGCGAAGGCGGGUUGCUGGGCUGACACUGACGCUGAGGCGCGGAAGCUAGGGGAGCGAACGGG